ACCCGAUAGAGCCAUUGACGGAAUCUUUGGAUUCGGUCAACAAGGACUCUUUGUAAUCGCGUAGCUUUCUUCACAAGGGAUCGCUCCAGGUCUUCAAUCUAUCAAUCUACAAUGGCCAUUGUCAAGUUACAUCGAAUCAAGGUCUAGGGUUUCAAAUGCUUCAAGUUCUUCCCAAAUAACUUCCCCUCUCAAGACGAUUUUCCUCAAUUUUCUAUCGAACUUGGUAGCUGUUAAAUUGGUGCGUAUCGGUGUCAAGAACCUGCCCCGAGGUCUGUUGCAUUUAUGAAUGAGGAAGAUUUGGAUGUCUCAUAUCAAGAGACGAAUUGUUGAUGUGCUUCAACCUGGGGAGACAGUGUUGCGAGCUUUAAGAAGGCUAAAAGGAAGUUCUAAUAGAAAGGAAAAGAUGUCAGCUGAAACAAAAAUUGUGUUUGAUCAACUAAAUGAAGAUGCCAUGAAGCUGAUGGAGGAUGGUGACUACAGUUGAGAUAAUCUUCUUUCAACAUUUUUCUUUAUAUUUAUUAUAAAUUUGUCAACAUUCUGAUUUAUGUCAUAAAUAUUUCUGCAGAUGUGUAUAAUGAAAAACAGGAGGUCUUUCAGAGGGAAGCAGGUAAUUAGCAUUUAU